rnacentral:rRNA from 1 species
UACAGAGGUCCCAAGCGUUGUUCGGAUUCACUGGGCGUAAAGGGUGCGUAGGUGGCUGGGAAAGUUUGAUGUGAAAGCUCGGAGCUUAACUCCGAAAUGGCAUUGAAUACUAUUCGGCUGGAGGGUCGGAGGGGAGACUGGAAUUCUCGGUGUAGCAGUGAAAUGCGUAGAUAUCGAGAGGAACACCCGUAGCGAAGGCGGCACUCUGGGCCGGUACUGACGCUGAGGAGCGAAAGCGUGGGGAGCAAACAGG